rnacentral:misc_RNA from 1 species
AAGGAAAUUCUGCUGAAGUCGACGCAAUGAGAGCUGUGCUGUUUUUUCUAUCUGUGGUGAUCACGCCCUCGGUACGGAGCUGGCCAUUCUAUGCCCCCAGUAUACCCGUAGAUUAUGUACCUCAUGUGUGCAAGGACGAAACUGGCCAGAUCAAUUAUUACAACAUAACUUCUGUUGGACAUGAAUUCUGUGGUCAACCCUAUGGUGAAAGAAACAGCUUUGGUCUGGUAAGUAACACUUUGUUCUUUUACUUAAAAGCUGUGAACUUUUUAGAAAAAGAAUAUUAGAGUACAUAUUAAACUAAAAAAAAUACUGUUUUGUUAGAGGUUUGUACUUAGGUAAAUAAUAGCAUUUGUAGGUGUCUUAAUUCACUCCAUAUUUUUUUUUUAUAAAAAUUUUAAACGAAAGAGUGAGAAGAAUAAUUUCAAAAGGAUACUUUCUUUAAUCGUUGUCGGGAGAAAUGGUAACUGGAAACAUCUAACGUCCUGACUUGUGACUCAUUAGUCUAAAUAUCAACGUCAGCCUUCUACUUAGAAAAAGGUAGAUAAAUAAGACCAUCUAUGCAUUUAAGAUCACUUUUGGACGUUCUAUGCCAGCCUCACUUUACUUUAACUAUACAAAAGAAUAUUUUCGUAUUCACAGAUGAUAUACUCAAAGACCCCCUCCCCUAUUCCCCCACUCCUCUACAACUUGCAAACUAUGAGAAAAUUUGAUAACUUUUGCUUCAUUUUUAUAAUUGACUAAACCAACCACUCCGCCCUAUUUUUGUUUAAUCUAUAAUCAGCCCAUUUUUAUACUUACUAGUAUUAUUGCACUUCCCGCACACCAAAACCAAUUCAUUUUGGAUUUCUUUUUAAGUUCAUUAUAAGCCAUUAGCCGCAUGAAUUGUUAUAAGCCAACCCCCCCCCCCCCCCCCCACACACACACAACCUCCCCCCUAAAAAAAAAACCCAAAAAAGAAAAAAACAAAAAGACCAGCAACAACCCCCAUCCCCCCCCCCCCCAAAAGAAAAAAAAAGAAAACCCUAAACAAAUAACCUAAAUAAUGUUUUGAUUUAACUGACUUUUUAUCACUUUAAGUCAUAAAACUCAGUUUGCUAUGCGUUUCACUUAUAUUUUUUUCCUUAGGCAUUCAAGGCAAUAUUUUUUUCCUUAGGCAUUCAAGGCAAUGCUUGAGAACAACCAGACGUGGUCGACGUUAUGUGUGGAUGAUGCGGACAACGACGGCCGCUCUAACGGAGAGGAGCUGGGCGACCCUUCUUGUAGCUGGGUCCCCUGUGACGAAACGAACACUAACUGUGACAAGCUGACCGCCGUCAGUCAUCCAGGUAUACUUUACAAGGAAAUAUUCGCCUCCGUUUUAUUUUCGACCUCUUGUCAGCUGGCAAGUCGUACAUUGGGCGAAUUCCAAUUUACAUUUACGCUCUUUUUCAGCUACUGCAUUUUCUUAAAGCAUUCUACUUUAAAAUAAUAUUUUACAUGCUUGCUGUCGGACAUUGUAACUAAACAAUUACUCGUAUCAAACAACUCAAUAUGAAGACAAACGAUUUGCUUAGUAUUUUGAUGUUCCCUUUUUUAAAUUUCUAAUCUGAUGUAUUUACAACACGUGAUAUGUUGUAUGAGGACAUACGUUUCUUGACGAUUUCUCUCUUGACUUUCAGGAAUUCCAGAAUAUUCAGAAACUGUCGGCACCUCCGCUGAGUACGUCGGCGUGUGUCUGCAGUCGUUCAUGUGUCAGGGAUACCCAUUAUACGAGUGCAAACAUUGUUACGUCAAGAAAGCCAUUUAAUUUGUUGUUAUAUUUUUUCUUGUUUUUAAUAAACUAAAUUCACCAAUAU